rnacentral:rRNA from 1 species
AAACCAACAGGGAUUGCCCUAGUAACGGCGAGUGAAGCGGCAACAGCUCAGAUUUGAAAUCUGGUCCUUGGACCCGAAUUGUAAUCUGUAGGGGUGGCUUCGGGCGCGACGUCUUCUGAGUCCCCUGGAACGGGGCGCCAUAGAGGGUGAGAGCCCCGUACGGUCGAUCGUUAAGCCUAUGUGAAGCCCCUUCGACGAGUCGAGUAGUUUGGGAAUGCUGCUCAAAAUGGGAGGUAAAUUUCUUCUAAAGCUAAAUACCGGCCAGAGACCGAUAGCGCACAAGUAGAGUGAUCGAAAGAUGAAAAGCACUUUGAAAAGAGGGUUAAAAAGUACGUGAAAUUGUUGAAAGGGAAGCGCCUGUGACCAGACUUGUGCUCGGCGGUUCCGUAGGCCUUCUGGCCUGCGUUCUCCGCCGGGUUCAGGCCAGCAUCGGUUUUCGUAGGGGGAUAAAAGCGGCGGGAAUGUGGCUCUCUUCGGGGAGUGUUAUAGCCCGUCGUACAAUGCCCUUCUGGGGACCGAGGUUCGCGCUCUGCAAGGAUGCUGGCGUAAUGGUCAUCAGCGAC